AGUGAACGCUGGCGGUAGGCCUAACACAUGCAAGUCGAACGGCAGCACAGUAAGAGCUUGCUCUUACGGGUGGCGAGUGGCGGACGGGUGAGGAAUACAUCGGAAUCUACUUUUUCGUGGGGGAUAACGUAGGGAAACUUACGCUAAUACCGCAUAUGACCUACGGGUGAAAGCAGGGGUUCUUCGGACCUUGCGCGGUUGAAUGAGCCGAUGUCGGCUUAGCUAGAUUGCGGGGUAAAGGGCCACCAAGGCGACGAUCCGUCGCUGGUCUGAGAGGAUCAUCAGCCACACUGGAACUGAGACACGGUCCAGACUCCUACGGGAGGCAGCAGUGGGGAAUAUUGGACAAUGGGCGAGAGCCUGAUCCAGCCAUACCGCGUGGGUGAAGAAGGCCUUCGGGUUGUAAAGCCCUUUUGUUGGGAAAGAAAAGCAGCAGGUUAAUACCCCGCUAUUCUGACGGUACCCAAAGAAUAAGCACCGGCUAACUUCGUG
rnacentral:rRNA from 1 species